rnacentral:rRNA from 1 species
GACGAACGCUGGCGGCGUGCUUAACACAUGCAAGUCGAACGGAAAGACCCUGCGUUUGUGGGGCGCUCGAUUGGCGAACGGGUGAGUAACACGUGAGUAACCUGCCCUUGACUUUGUGAUAACUUCUCGGGACUGGGGCGAAUAUCGCGUAGGAUCUCCUGCUGCAUGGUGGGGGUUGGUGAGUUUCGGCGGUUGGGGAUGGACUCGCGGCUUAUCAGCUUGUUUGGGGGGUAGGUGCUUACCAAGGCUUUGACGGGUAGCCUGCAUGAGAGGGGUAACGGGCACAAUGCGACUGAGAUACGGCGCAGAAUCCUACGGGAGGCAGCAGUCGGGAAUAUUGCACAAUGGGCGGAAGCCUGAUGCAGCAACGCCGCGUGCGGGAUGACGGCCUUCGGGUUGUAAACCGAUUUGGCCUGUGACGAAGCGUGAGUGACGGUAAUGAGUAAAGAAGCACCGGCUAACUACGUG